rnacentral:lncRNA from 1 species
CAGUGGUCGAGAGAAACUCAAAGCGGGAGGUUGUGUCUCUCGUCGUCGGCUGACACACACAAGCCUCUCCCUCACCCCCCACAUAGGCGACACUUCAUUACCUUCUUACGUGAAUGAAGGAAUUAAUGAAAAUCUGAUAAAGAGAGAGACAAAGAGAGAGAGAGAAAAA